UAUGGGCGCAGGCCUGAACCAGCCAAGUAGCGUGAAGGAUGACUGCCCUAUGGGUUGUAAACUUCUUUUAUACGGGAAUAAAGUGAGGCACGUGUGCCUUUUUGUAUGUACCGUAUGAAUAAGGAUCGGCUAACUCCGUGCCAGCAGCCGCGGUAAUACGGAGGAUCCGAGCGUUAUCCGGAUUUAUUGGGUUUAAAGGGAGCGUAGGCGGACGCUUAAGUCAGUUGUGAAAGUUUGCGGCUCAACCGUAAAAUUGCAGUUGAUACUGGGUGUCUUGAGUACAGUAGAGGCAGGCGGAAUUCGUGGUGUAGCGGUGAAAUGCUUAGAUAUCACGAAGAACUCCGAUUGCGAAGGCAGCCUGCUGGACUGUAACUGACGCUGAUGCUCGAAAGUGUGGGUAUCAAACAGGAUUAGAUACCCUGGUAGUCCAAGGGCGAAUUC
rnacentral:rRNA from 1 species